rnacentral:lncRNA from 1 species
CACAGCUUCUUGGAGUUUUAUUUUGGCUUCUGAAAAAUAGUGCAUUUGUGUCAAACAUGCAGAGUUAUAAAUCGAUGCUGCUCUGAUUUAUUAAGUGCAGUCAGGCCAGCGCGCCGAGCGAGUGGCCGGGGCCGCAGCUCUCCCCGUGUGGCUGAGCCCCGGGCCUGGCCCUUCCCCAACAGCCCCAUCUAUAGAUGAAGCAGCCGAGGUUCAGAGAGGGCAGGGCCGCUGCCUGUGCGUCGACUCUGUGCUAAGCAGUUCACGGGCAUUGAGUAAAAUUGCCCGAGGCCCAGCCACCACGAAUUAUCUGAUUUAAAGGCCGGCUUGGCCAGGAAUACGCAUUUCAGGGCAGAGCUGAUGAGGCAAGUUUGAGGUUCCCUUGGGAUAUCCAGGAGGGAGAGCUUGGCUUGGAUUCUUAUCAGCUGUUCCACCCUUAGCUACUCAGUUAACCUCUCUGUGCUCCAGUACCCCAUCUGCAAAAUGAGCAUAGUACCUCCCUCGUGGGGCUGGUUCUGGAUUAAAUGAGUUACAUGGGUGCGGUUGGCUGACAUUUAGGAGGCAAUUGGACACCUGGGCAUGGAGCCUGGCGACGGUGGGGUUGGCAGCACCAGUGCGGGGGAAGAGGGCGCAGCAUGAACAAGAAGGGCAGCCGGGUCCUUUGCCAUGUGGAGUGGCAGAGGGGCCUGCACGGGGAGUGAGGAGCAGACACUCCCCAGGGUGUGGGUCAUGGAGGCCCAGAGCUGAGACGGUGCAGACAAGAGAGUGGCCAGCAGGGCGCCGGGGCUGCCAGCCUCGAGGUCGGCGUGAGGCAAACAGAUGCAGCAAUGAUGUCACGAUCUCUGAAGAAACUGGCCAAGCUGGCUUGGAACCACCAGCCAAAAGAACUCCGUGUGAAUGGAGGCCCCAAGGAGGCAGAGAACCACCCAAAGUGACGCAUGGCCUUGACCACAGCCCUGACCUUGACCCCACCCAAGGAGCCCUCUUGUGCUGCCAGUGGCAGGGCCUUGGGACCAGGAGAAGAGCCAAGCCUCCCCAGGUGGGAUGGGCAGAGAAAUGGGCUCUGGGUUACAGGCCACUGAUGCUCAGCAGAGGGAGCAGGCCCAAUGGGUGGGGAGAGAUGUCCCUUUUCCCCAGAGAAUCACCUGUGUGCCGAAAGAGUGACUCUUUAUCAUUGGGUGUCCUGACUUGGGCUCCUACUCGGCAAGAAUCUGGCUCGCCCACCUUCAGAAAUGCUGCUAAGAAAUGCUACUCUUUGCUAAGUGCCCAUCGGGUGCCACCUCUGGUGCAGUUUGCUUUGGGUGCUGACCUACGCUAUCGUACUUUGGCUGAGGAGGCAGUGUGGUCCAAUGAUUAAGGCUAUUGUAUGCACAGCCAGACUCCUGGAGGAAAGUCUCCCGCUGCUGCUCACUAGGUCAGUGGCCUGGAGUGAGCUCUUUAACCUCUCUGGACCUCAGUCUCUUUGUCCAAAUGAUGACUCAGUAGCUCCUCCCUGUAGGGCUGUUAAGGGCUAAAGUAAAGGGCUUUGGCCACAAAGUGGAAACAACCCAAAAUGUCCGUCAGUGGAUGAACGGAUAAACAAAGUGUGGUCCAUCCCUACAUGGAAUAUUAUUCAGUCAUGGAAAAGAAUGGAGUGCCGACACGUGCUACUGCGUGGAUGAACCUUGAAAACAUUAUGCUGAGUGAAAGGAGCCAGACACCAAAGACUGCAUACUGUGCGAGUCCAUUUAUAUGAAACGUCCAGAACAGACAAUCCACAGAGACAGAAGGUAGAUUAGUAACCUUCAGCGCCUGGGGGGAGCGGGAUGUGGUGAGUGCCUGCUAAAGGGCGCGGCAUUUCUUUUUGGGGUGAUGAAAAUGUUCUGGAAUUAGACAGUGGUGAUGGUUGUAUAACUUUGUGAAUGUACUAAAAGCCACUGAACUGUGCACUUUCAAAGAGUGGAUUUUAUGGUAUAUGAAUUAUGUCUCAAUAAAAACUUAUGUAGCAAAAAAGAAUUAGGAAUA